CGGGGAACGAUAACGGCGUCGAGCGGCGGACGGGUGAGUAAUGCCUAGGAAAUUGCCCUGAUGUGGGGGAUAACCAUUGGAAACGAUGGCUAAUACCGCAUGAUGCCUACGGGCCAAAGAGGGGGACCUUCGGGCCUCUCGCGUCAGGAUAUGCCUAGGUGGGAUUAGCUAGUUGGUGAGGUAAGGGCUCACCAAGGCGACGAUCCCUAGCUGGUCUGAGAGGAUGAUCAGCCACACUGGAACUGAGACACGGUCCAGACUCCUACGGGAGGCAGCAGUGGGGAAUAUUGCACAAUGGGCGCAAGCCUGAUGCAGCCAUGCCGCGUGUGUGAAGAAGGCCUUCGGGUUGUAAAGUACUUUCAGUCGUGAGGAAGGCGUUGUAGUUAAUAGCUGCAUCGUUUGACGUUAGCGACAGAAGAAGCACCGGCUAACUCCGUGCCAGCAGCCGCGGUAAUACGGAGGGUGCGAGCGUUAAUCGGAAUUACUGGGCGUAAAGCGCAUGCAGGUGGUUUGUUAAGUCAGAUGUGAAAGCCCGGGGCUCAACCUCGGAAUAGCAUUUGAAACUGGCAGACUAGAGUACUGUAGAGGGGGGUAGAAUUUCAGGUGUAGCGGUGAAAUGCGUAGAGAUCUGAAGGAAUACCGGUGGCGAAGGCGGCCCCCUGGACAGAUACUGACACUCAGAUGCGAAAGCGUGGGGAGCAAACAGGAUUAGAUACCCUGGUAGUCCACGCCGUAAACGAUGUCUACUUGGAGGUUGUGGCCUUGAGCCGUGGCUUUCGGAGCUAACGCGUUAAGUAGACCGCCUGGGGAGUACGGUCGCAAGAUUAAAACUCAAAUGAAUUGACGGGGGCCCGCACAAGCGGUGGAGCAUGUGGUUUAAUUCGAUGCAACGCGAAGAACCUUACCUACUCUUGACAUCCAGAGAACUUUCCAGAGAUGGAUUGGUGCCUUCGGGAACUCUGAGACAGGUGCUGCAUGGCUGUCGUCAGCUCGUGUUGUGAAAUGUUGGGUUAAGUCCCGCAACGAGCGCAACCCUUAUCCUUGUUUGCCAGCGAGUAAUGUCGGGAACUCCAGGGAGACUGCCGGUGAUAAACCGGAGGAAGGUGGGGACGACGUCAAGUCAUCAUGGCCCUUACGAGUAGGGCUACACACGUGCUACAAUGGCGCAUACAGAGGGCGGCCAACUUGCGAAAGUGAGCGAAUCCCAAAAAGUGCGUCGUAGUCCGGAUUGGAGUCUGCAACUCGACUCCAUGAAGUCGGAAUCGCUAGUAAUCGUGGAUCAGAAUGCCACGGUGAAUACGUUCCCGGGCCUUGUACACACCGCCCGUCACACCAUGGGAGUGGGCUGCAAA
rnacentral:rRNA from 1 species